ACCUCAGUAACGGCGAGUGAAGCGGUAACAGCUCAAAUUUGAAAUCUGGGUCUUUCAGGCUCCGAGUUGUAAUUUGUAGAAGAUGCUUCGGGUGCGGCUCCGGUCUAAGUUCCUUGGAACAGGACGUCAUAGAGGGUGAGAAUCCCGUAUGUGAUCGGUUGCUUGCGCCCAUGUGAAGCUCUUUCGACGAGUCGAGUUGUUUGGGAAUGCAGCUCCAAAUGGGUGGUAUAUUUCAUCUAAAGCUAAAUAUUGGCCAGAGACCGAUAGCGCACAAGUAGAGUGAUCGAAAGAUGAAAAGCACUUUGGAAAGAGAGUUAAACAGUACGUGAAAUUGUUGAAAGGGAAGCGCUUGCAACCAGACUUGCGUGUCGUCGAUCAUCCGGGGUUCUCCCCGGUGCACUCGGCUUCACUCAGGCCAGCAUCGGUUUCGGUGGUUGGAUAAAGGCCUUGGGAAUGUAGCUCCUCUCGGGGAGUGUUAUAGCCCUCGGUGCAAUGCAGCCUACCGGGACCGAGGACCGCGCUUCGGCUAGGAUGCUGGCGUAAUGGUUGUAAGCGACCCGUCUUGAAACACGGACCAAGGAGUCUAACAUCUAUGCGAGUGUUUGGGUGUCAAACCCAUACGCGUAAUGAAAGUGAACGGAGGUGAGAACCCUUAAGGGUGCAUCAUCGACCGAUCCUGAUGUCUUCGGAUGGAUUUGAGUAAGAGCAUAGCUGUUGGGACCCGAAAGAUGGUGAACUAUGCCUGAAUAGGGUGAAGCCAGAGGAAACUCUGGUGGAGGCUCGCAGCGGUUCUGACGUGCAAAUCGAUCGUCAAAUUUGGGUAUAGGGCGAAA
rnacentral:rRNA from 1 species